rnacentral:rRNA from 1 species
UAGGGAAUCUUCCGCAAUGGGCGAAAGCCUGACGGAGCAACGCCGCGUGAGUGAUGAAGGUCUUCGGAUCGUAAAACUCUGUUAUUAGGGAAGAACAAAUGUGUAAGUAACUAUGCACGUCUUGACGGUACCUAAUCAGAAAGCCACGGCUAACUACGUGCCAGCAGCCGCGGUAAUACGUAGGUGGCAAGCGUUAUCCGGAAUUAUUGGGCGUAAAGCGCGCGUAGGCGGUUUUUUAAGUCUGAUGUGAAAGCCCACGGCUCAACCGGGGAGGGUCAUUGGAAACUGGAAAACUGGAGUGCAGAAGAGGAAAGUGGAAUUCCAUGUGUAGCGGUGAAAUGCGCAGAGAUAUGGAGGAACACCAGUGGCGAAGGCGACUUUCUGGUCUGUAACUGACGCUGAUGUGCGAAAGCGUGGGGAUCAAACAGG